GAUGAACGCUGGCAGCGUGCUUAACACAUGCAAGUCGAACGGGAUCGGCUGGAGCUUGCUCCGGCCGUGAGAGUGGCGAACGGGUGAGUAAUGCGUGACCGACCUGCCCCAUACACCGGAAUAGCUCCUGGAAACGGGUGGUAAUGCCGGAUGCUCCAGUUGGAUGCAUGUCCUUCUGGGAAAGAUUCAUCGGUAUGGGAUGGGGUCGCGUCCUAUCAGGUAGUCGGCGGGGUAACGGCCCACCGAGCCUACGACGGGUAGCCGGCCUGAGAGGGCGACCGGCCACAUUGGGACUGAGAUACGGCCCAGACUCCUACGGGAGGCAGCAGUGGGGAAUAUUGCACAAUGGGCGCAAGCCUGAUGCAGCGACGCCGCGUGCGGGAUGACGGCCUUCGGGUUGUAAACCGCUUUUGACUGGGAGCAAGCCCUU
rnacentral:rRNA from 1 species